UUCGUAAUACCAGCAGCUACACAGAAACUCUUGAGUAUGGUGGCGUAAGCCUGUACUAACAGCGCUCGGGAGGCUGAGGCAGAAGAUUGCAGGUCCAAGAAAUCCUGUUCAUUGUGGGCUGUGACUCUGAUAAAAAUCCAAAUGAGGAGACUUGGAGAACAGGAGGGCAUUAGAACCCCUCACCCAGAGAACUCCUCAUUGUACACAUCACACCCAGGGCAGCUGUCAUCGAUCCCGCCGGGCCAUGCAUCGUGCCUGCCGGACUGGAGGCCUGCCUGGUAUGUGAUAUUUGAGCAAAUCCCAGUGUGAAGGUUUUGUUUCAGGCUGCCCAUUUCCUGCCAGCUCCAACUACCACGGUGACAGGUCGGCUCUCAGCCACAUCAUCAAGCAGACUCAGGUAACCUAUUGAUUGUCUGUUUAUCGAUUAGUGCAUCUCCCUAGUACAUGGUUCUCUUUUAAAAAUUCUACCAAUUCAUUUUAGUUAGCACAGCAAAUAACGAGCUUCAAUGCAAUAUUUUCAUGGUAUUUUGCUCAUAUCCGUCUCCCAUCCUUCUCUCCCACCCCUUCCGCUUCCUGUUGUCUCCAUUCUUCCUCCCAAAGCAUCUCUCUUCUGCUUUCAUGUCCUGGGUGUGUAUCUAAAGCUAAAGUCUGUGUGUGAGGAAAAACAAGGGCAGCAUUCUUCUUUCUAUUCCCCUCAUUACUCUCUUGCCUCCUCAUCAUGGACGUCUCUUUAUAUCGUUAGGUCUGCUGUAUUGAGUUUGCAAUAUAUAUUCCAUAUAGGAGUAGAAACUUGUAGCUUUGGUAUCUUGAGUCUGGCUUGUUUUACUUAACAUGAUGGUUUCCAGCUCAUUUUUCUGCAACUUGCAUAAUUUUAUUAUUCUUUACUACUGAAUGAAGCAGAUAAAAACAAACAAACAAACAAACAGAAUACAAGUGCUUUUUAAGAAGAGGGUUCAAAAACCACAAAAAUAUCG
rnacentral:lncRNA from 1 species